GGGGUUGAGGCUCAGAGGUAGAGCGCUUGCUUAGCAUGCAUGAGCACUGGGUUCGAUCCUCAGCACCACA
rnacentral:tRNA from 1 species